rnacentral:rRNA from 1 species
AUGUUGGGUUAAGUCCCGCAACGAGCGCAACCCUCGUCCUUAGUUGCCAGCAUUGAGUUGGGCACUCUGGGGAGACUGCCGGUGACAAACCGGAGGAAGGUGGGGACGACGUCAAGUCAGCAUGCCCCUUAUGCUCUGGGCUACACACGUGCUACAAUGGCGCGGACAAAGGGCAGCGAACGCGCGAGCGGGAGCCAAUCCCAAAAACCGCGUCUCAGUUCAGAUCGCAGGCUGCAACACGCCUGCGUGAAGGCGGAAUCGCUAGUAAUCGCAGAUCAGCAAGCUGCGGUGAAUACGUUCCCGGGCCUUGUACACACCGCCCGUCACACCAUGGGAGCUGGCCAUGCCCGAAGUCGGAGCACCCGCCGAAGGCAGGGCUGGUGACUGGGGUGAAGUCGUAACAAGGUAGCCGUACCGGAAGGUGCGGCUGGAUCACCUCCUUU